rnacentral:misc_RNA from 1 species
CCAAACUUGGUCAUUUAGAGGAAGUAAAAGUCGUAACAAGGUUUCCGUAGGUGAACCUGCGGAAGGAUCAUUAAUAAUAACACACCCGCUCUGCGAGUUGUAUAUUAUCUCCUUACCACAACCUGUGAACCAUUGACACUUGGCCUUGGCCGCUGUGCGCACUGCCUGAUCCCUCGCGGGCCAGGCGGGUUUCUGCGCGCGGCGACCGCGGCAUAUUUAACAACACACCUUUAAUUGUUACCAUGUCAAGUCUGAUCAUUAGUGUGAAAGCAGCGGUGGUCCUGGCGGCCGCCUUGUUUAGCAUGCUUGUCUUUUUCAGUAAAGCAAGAACCUAAAACAACUUUUAACAAUGGAUCUCUUGGCUCCUGCAUCGAUGAAGAACGCAGC